AAAACCAAAAUCGAACCAAUGAAAACUUACUAAUUUGAAUGCAAAGUACUUUACUAUUCUUCCAGCAAAGCAGAUAUCUCAUGUGAAUCGCCCGCAAGGAGGCUGCCGUGCAAAUAAGACGAUGGUGCACCAGCAUCUUUUGUACAUUUCGCAGAUGAGACGAUUGAGACACACUUAUGCAAAAGUAGGUGAACUCACAACGCAUAGCCCCCUUAUCACCAAUAGCCAGCGUAAGCAAAGAUAGCCACACCGGGAGCCGAAGGCAGGAACACCAUAUGCGUUAGAACCCACAACACCAAAAAGAGACAGUUUUGUGACACUCCACACAAAAACACCUCACACUAUACCGCACACAUUGUAAACCAAAACACAUAGAAACACACCGCGGAAAAUAGAACGGCCUACAGUAGCAAAACCCGAGUUUGGUCCAACACCAAGCAGAAGCUAAACAAUUGGCUUUAAGCAGAACAAAAACACAAACCACAACCAAAUGUACGGAAUUAAUAACUUUUUUUUGAGUAUAAAUAAAACCAUAUCCGAUCAAGGCAGACCAGAUUCGUUCGGGCUGUUAGGAUAGGAUGUUACGCUUGCUGUAAAACUCCUCUACGACUUUCAUUUCAUAAGCAUUCAGAAUGUACCCCUAAAACUAACCUCCCGCAAAACGGUCUUGGACGGCCCCGCUACGAUCGAUAACAUUACAGGGACAUAACUAACGACAA